GACGGAGGAUGCAAGUGUUAUCCGGAAUCACUGGGCGUAAAGGGCGCGUAGGCGGCCCGGUAAGUAGGGGGUGAAAUCCUGCGGCUUAACCGCAGGGCUGCCUUCUAAACUGUCGGGCUCGAGCACGGUAGAGGCAGAUGGAAUUCCUGGUGUAGCGGUGGAAUGCGCAGAUAUCAGGAGGAACACCGAUGGCGAAGGCAGUUCUCUGGGCCGUAACUGACGCUGAGGAGCGAAAGCGUGGGGAGCGAACAGG
rnacentral:rRNA from 1 species